GACGAACGCUGGCGGCGUGCUUAACACAUGCAAGUCGAACGGAAAGGCCCUGCUUGCAGGGUACUCGAGUGGCGAACGGGUGAGUAACACGUGGGUGAUCUGCCCUGCACUUCGGGAUAAGCCUGGGAAACUGGGUCUAAUACCGGAUAGGAGCCAUUUUUAGUGUGAUGGUUGGAAAGUUUUUUCGGUGUAGGAUGAGCUCGCGGCCUAUCAGCUUGUUGGUGGGGUAAUGGCCUACCAAGGCGGCGACGGGUAGCCGGCCUGAGAGGGUGGACGGCCACAUUGGGACUGAGAUACGGCCCAGACUCCUACGGGAGGCAGCAGUGGGGAAUAUUGCACAAUGGGCGCAAGCCUGAUGCAGCGACGCCGCGUGGGGGAUGACGGCCUUCGGGUUGUAAACUCCUUUCGCUAGGGACGAAGCUUUUUGUGACGGUACCUAGAUAAGAAGCACCGGCUAACUACGUGCCAGCAGCCGCGGUAAUACGUAGGGUGUGAGCGUUGUCCGGAAUUACUGGGCGUAAAGGGCUCGUAGGUGGUUUGUCGCGUCGUCUGUGAAAUUCCGGGGCUUAACUCCGGGCGUGCAGGCGAUACGGGCAUAACUUGAGUACUGUAGGGGUAACUGGAAUUCCUGGUGUAGCGGUGAAAUGCGCAGAUAUCAGGAGGAACACCGAUGGCGAAGGCAGGUUACUGGGCAGUUACUGACGCUGAGGAGCGAAAGCAUGGGUAGCGAACAGGAUUAGAUACCCUGGUAGUCCAUGCCGUAAACGGUGGGCGCUAGGUGUGAGGGUCUUUUCACGACUUUCGUGCCGUAGCUAACGCAUUAAGCGCCCCGCCUGGGGAGUACGGCCGCAAGGCUAAAACUCAAAGGAAUUGACGGGGACCCGCACAAGCGGUGGAGCAUGUGGUUUAAUUCGAAGCAACGCGAAGAACCUUACCAAAUCUUGACAUCCUUUGACAACUCUAGAGAUAGAGCCUUCCCCUUCGGGGGACAAAGUGACAGGUGGUGCAUGGUUGUCGUCAGCUCGUGUCGUGAGAUGUUGGGUUAAGUCCCGCAACGAGCGCAACCCUUAAGCUUAGUUGCCAUCAUUAAGUUGGGCACUCUAAGUUGACUGCCGGUGACAAACCGGAGGAAGGUGGGGAUGACGUCAAAUCAUCAUGCCCCUUAUGAUUUGGGCUACACACGUGCUACAAUGGACAAUACAAAGGGCAGCGAAACCGCGAGGUCAAGCAAAUCCCAUAAAGUUGUUCUCAGUUCGGAUUGUAGUCCGCAACUCGACUACAUGAAGCUGGAAUCGCUAGUAAUCGUAGAUCAGCAUGCUACGGUGAAUACGUUCCCGGGUCU
rnacentral:rRNA from 1 species